rnacentral:rRNA from 1 species
AACGAACGCUGGCGGCAGGCCUAACACAUGCAAGUCGAGCGCCCUUUCGGGGGAGCGGCGGACGGGUGAGUAACGCGUGGGAAUAUGCCCUUCUCUACGGAAUAGCCUCGGGAAACUGAGAGUAAUACCGUAUACGCCCUGUGGGGGAAAGAUUUAUCGGGGAAGGAUUAGCCCGCGUUGGAUUAGGUAGUUGGUGGGGUAAUGGCCUACCAAGCCGACGAUCCAUAGCUGGUUUGAGAGGAUGAUCAGCCACACUGGGACUGAGACACGGCCCAGACUCCUACGGGAGGCAGCAGUGGGGAAUCUUAGACAAUGGGGGCAACCCUGAUCUAGCCAUGCCGCGUGAGUGAUGAAGGCCUUAGGGUUGUAAAGCUCUUUCAGCUGGGAAGAUAAUGACAGUACCAGCAGAAGAAGCCCCGGCUAACUCCGUG